rnacentral:rRNA from 1 species
GACAGAGGUGCCAAGCGUUAGGCGGAAUCACUGGGCUUAAAGCGUGUGUAGGCGGGUCGUUAAGUACCUUGUGAAAUCCCACGGCUCAACCGUGGAACUGCUCGGUAUACUGGCGAUCUUGAGCCACUUAGGGGCUACCGGAACAAAUGGUGGAGCGGUGAAAUGCGUAGAUAUCGAGAGGAACACCUGCGGCGAAGGCGGGUUGCUGGGCUGACACUGACGCUGAAGUGCGAAAGCUAGGGGAGCGAACGGG